CUCUUCAGCUUCCUUUCUACUGUUCUUGUUCUUUCUCACAAUCUCUAUUUCUUCCUCCACCGCGCACCCGCCUACACUCCUCUGCUGUGCAUAAACCGGUGAUUCAGUAAGUUAUACCGCUGAAAAUGAUUUCACUCGCUGCAAGAUUCACUAAGUUGUUAAGAGCCUCUUGUCCUACCACGCGCAGCUCUCCUCCAGUGAUGGGUUUGCAACGAAGCUUGAGGUCAUGUUACUCAACUGUGUCGUCCAAUGGGGACAAUGGUGGUCGGAAGGAUGAUGAAUUGGACGAGGAGUUUGAUGAUUUUCUUAGUGAAAAGCCAGAGUUACAGCUCCAAGGUGUGGAUCCCCGGAAAGGUUGGGGAUUUCGUGGUGUCCACAAGGCGAUCAUCUGUGGUAAAGUUGGGCAAGCUCCAGUGCAGAAGAUCUUGAGGAAUGGCCGAACUGUAACCAUAUUUACUGUUGGAACAGGUGGCAUGUUUGACCAAAGAAUUGUAGGAGCAAAAGACUUGCCAAAACCUGCUCAGUGGCAUCGAAUUGCUGUGCAUAAUGAGAUGCUUGGGGCUUAUGCUGUUCAACAACUUGCCAAAAAUUCCUCUGUUUAUGUUGAGGGUGACAUUGAAACUAGAGUUUACAAUGAUAGUAUCAGUGGUGAAGUUAAAAACAUUCCGGAGAUUUGUGUUCGUCGUGAUGGGAAAAUUCGCCUUGUAACAAGUGGAAAAGUCACCAGUGAUAUUUCAUUUGAGGAUCUACGAGAGGGAUUGUUUAACUGAAAGCUGGUGCAUUGCAGAAAUCUGAGUCUCAGAAAGCAGGACCAGCUAGACUUUUGUAAGAAAUAGAUAUUGUUUAAGUAGUGUGACAAAUUGGUUUAAUUAUUUCAGUGUUCCCGACUUCCUAUCCACAAUCUGGUUGUUUAGCAUGUCUUUUCUCUAUCAUGAUCAUCUGUGUGCAUGCAGGUGCUGGUGUAUACCCCUUUUUUUUUUAAUGUUAGGCAACACAAUAGGGAAAUACUUCUUCUUCACUCGAUAAAUCCCUCUGUAUUAGGACUUGAAUCUGAGAUUUUUAAGUUGAACUCAAAUUCCAACUGUUGGAGUGUACCUUUUAGGAUAUAUUUUUAGUUAAUUAUUUGCAUU
rnacentral:misc_RNA from 1 species